GCAAAUUGAUACAUGUUUAGCUAUGUAUUAUAAGACGUAAAACAAAUCGCUUCGCUUUCAAAUUUGUGUGUUUCAAAAAUCAAAAUUCAAAUUGUUUUGAUCAAGCGAUCAUUCCCUCAUUUCCAUCCCUCAGGAGUAUAAAAUUGUACUUUGAACUGGUUUUCAAUACACAGACACAGUAUAUAUUGAAAUAUUUUAUACCGCGAGUUUUUUUGUCAUCAGUAUUUACGCCUGAACGUUGGCUUAAAAGAUUUAUCAUUAUGGACUGAUUCAGGCCAAAUCAGCAGUUAGGAUUUUAGGAUAAUGCAAAUUAUAAAUGCACUAUAAAAGUUGUAUCUUGUAUUAAAAAUUUCGACAAAUCAUCUCGUGUAUUAAUAAUGACAUGUUUAUAAAAACAAUACAAAAAGCACAUUUAAAACUUUCCUAGAAGAAAAUCACACUCUUACUGUUAUAUUUCCAUCAAGACAGCCGAAAC